rnacentral:rRNA from 1 species
UACGGAGGGGGGCUAGCGUUGUUCGGAAUGACUGGGCGUAAAGCGCGCGUAGGCGGGCUGGAAAGUCAGGGGUGAAAUCCCGGGGCUCAACCCUGGAAUUGCCUUUGAGACUCCCAGCCUUGAGUUCGAGAGAGGUGAGUGGAAUUCCGAGUGUAGAGGUGAAAUUCGUAGAUAUUCGGAGGAACACCAGUGGCGAAGGCGGCUCACUGGCUCGACACUGACGCUGAGGUGCGAAAGCGUGGGGAGCAAACAGG